UGUCAGAUUAUUGUUAUUCACUUGUGUUUAUUUUGCACUAAACUUUUGUGUUUAAUAUAUUAAUUAAGAUGAUGUGUCAGCUGUGGGUACGGCUCUGAUUAACGCAUAAGUUAUACUUGUCAACAUAGACACUUUAUUUCUCAAGUCAGUCCAAUUCUACACUUACUUUCGCAGCCGAAUUCUACACUUACUUUCGCACCAGUAACCAUUGAGAAUCUACUUGUAAAUAUCUAUGGUGCAUACCAAUAUGUAAAUAUGUAUUAUACAAUGAAAUAUAUAGGUGGAACUAUAGAAGAAGACUAUCUAGUUCAAUUAAUUGAAUCUACCUAUUUACACUAACAACAUUGCUAGUAUGCUUAAAAUCUUCAAAUGUCAAAGAGUUUUUACCCUCCUUUACACCUUGCAGUUCCCCUCCAUGCCCUUCUAAUGAAAUUCAAUGAAGCUCCAAUUGUCAUUGAAUAAUUAAGUUUCUUUGUGAUUUAACAUUCUCUUAUUAGAUCUAUCUAGUUGUAAGUUGGUCGGAACUAUAUUGGUUUUGUUAGAGACACCGCUAGUUUAAUCCUUGCCAAUAGUUUGGUGAUAAUUAGUAUUCGUCAAGAAAAUACAUAUGUACACAUCCUAGCAAACCUUCCAGACAUAUCUCAAAUCUAGAGCUAACUGUCUCCAUGGAUUUUUAUCCUUGGUGGUUUGUCAUAGUGGUAACAUGUGACGCAAUCUUGUAUAAUUAGUUUGAUUUAAAAGCCAUUUGAAAUUGCCAUUUUAAGUUAGUGGUUGUACGUUUCUUAAGAAAUAUAAGGAUAGUUUAAAUUCAUUAUUUACUCAUACACACUAUAUACAACCACCAUCACCAAACCUUUAUUAUAGUAAGUGGGGUGAGCUAUAUGGAUCUGCUCGAUCCCUACUAUAUCUUUAUUUAUAUUUAAAUAAUUUUAUUUUGUUUUAUCGAUGCUAACAAAUUUUUUAUUGGUCUUCCUCUUCCUAUGUAUAUUUGUCUAAUCUAUCAUCGUCUAAUUUGUACAUUAAUUGAACAUAGUACAUGUCCGUGCCAUUUUAAAUGUGAUUUUAAGAGUUUUCCUUUAAUAGGCGCAAUCUCAAUUUUCUCUCAAAUAUUCUCGUUUUCCAUUCUCAUAUGUUUGCACAUCCACCUUAAUAUCCUCAUCUUUGUAAAUUUCAUCUUUUGUUCAUAUACCCGCUUCAUAGCACAAUAUUCAACUUCAUGUAACAUAGCAUAUUUAAUUGUCACUCUCUUAAGCUUUAUAGGUACCUUACAAUAAAAAAAAGAAGAAGAAGAAACAUUUGACACUCUCUUCCAUUUCAACUAUUCUACUUGUAUACUUGGAAAAAUAUCUCUAUCAACCACUCUAUCCUUUUGAAAAUACAAUUCUAGAUACUUAAAGCUCUCAAUAAUUUGUCAUCUCUUAAUAAUUGUCUUGUUAUGUUUGAUAUUACUAAACUUAGAGUUUAUAUGUUUUAUUUUUAUUCUACUAAGUCUAAAAUCUUUUCCUUUCAAUAAUUUUUAUUAAGAUUCGAACUUAACAUUUACUUCUUCAUCAUGUGUCUAAUUGGGCAAAAUAAUGUCACACAAUUUGCACCAUGAUAAUGUGUCCUCAAUGUGUCUAGUGAGUUCACUCAUAAUUAGUGUAAAAAGGUUUGGAGUUGGAGCUUAUCCUUGAUAUAACCUUAUAAUUUUUUUAAUUAUUCUGCCUACAUCCUCAUACAUACUCUUAAUUAUUUUAAUAUACAUAAUGCUAACACCUUUCUUUUUUAGAAUUCUUCUUAUAAUUUUCUUUAAGAUUUUGUUAUAAACAUUUUUGAGGUCAAUGAAUACAAUGUGUAAUUCUUACUUCUUUUCAUGAUAUUAUUCAAUCAAUUAUUUGAGAAUAUGUAUAAUUUCUUUCAUUGACCUUUUAGGCACUAAUCGAAAAUGAUUUUAGGUCACCUUAGAUACUUAAUCUUUUUAUAUUACUCUUUUUUCAAGUUUCAUGCUAUAACCCAUAGUUUAAUGCCCUUAUAAUUCAUAUAAUUUUGUAUAUAUCCUUUGCUUUUAUGUAGGAGAUUUGAGUAGCCCUCCAUUGAUCGGAUAUUUUGUUUGUUUUCAAUAUGAGGUUGAAUAACUUCUAAGUCAUUUAAUGCCCCGCUUCCUUAGUCAUUUCUAUAACUCUAUUGGAAUAUCAUUCAAUCUAAUUGCUUUCCCAUUUUACAUCCCAUUUAACAUAUGUUUUACUUUUGAAGUUUGAAUUCUCUGAUAAACAUUUAAAUUUCUAUCCUCCUUUGACUGCUAAGUUUUAAAGCUAAGUUGUCCACUUAAACUUUCAUUAAAGUGUACAUUUAGUCAAGUUAUUAAAAUGACAGCACUAGGACACUAACAGAACACCUAAAGCUAAAUUUAAAAUGACAGCACUAGGACACUAAUUAUCGAAAAACUAAAGAAAAAGGUGCCAGUGUACAUUUAGUCAAGUCAUUAAAUGUACACUAAGAAGGGUCUCAAGUCUAAAAUGAACCUAGCAAUAUAUGUCAUGCAAGCAAGUCAGUUGCCUUGGCAAAUCAAGGAUAUCAUGACAUGAAAGGUGUACCUAAGAAGUCUCGAAUUUAAGCUAGCAUUAGUACCUAAUCGGACAGUGUUGUAGAGGGCUUUUGCCAAGAAUAUCAUCUUGUCAUUGAGUCUGAUUCAUCUUGCUAGUGGUGCCUCAAACUUAUGGUAGAGAAGGAAGCUUGUCAAUGAUUGCAGGAUUUCAGGAAGAUCUACCACAAAAGAGAAAGGCUCUUCUAGUAAGAGGUUUGUGUUGGUUUCUAGGAAUUCAAGCUCCACAAGAGGCUGAAGGUUGAUUGUGUGAGCUGUUGGUUGCUGGGAAGAGCAGCAAAGAAAGGAUCACAGUGAAGAUACUAGUAGCAAGGAAGAAGUCUGUAGGUGGAAUUAAUGAGGUGUAGCUGGAGAUGUUGAUCUAGAAGCCUAAUCAGGAUGCUAAAAUGCAUAGAGAUUGAAUUGAAGCCAUAUCAAGCUUCGAGGAGAUAUUUGCCGAAAUGAAAUUAGCAGUGUAGUGGAGAAGAUUGAGGGCAAUAGAAGAGGUUUGUAUUGACCAAGACAUGGCUACAAGUUCAGCUUUUUCAAAGAUUUAAUGCAAGUAUCAACUCUGAUACCAUAUUGAUUUGGGAAAAUUAUCAAUGUUAAUUGGCAAGGUAGUCCUGUUUACCUAUAUAUUUGCAUAAUUGCAUAGCAUAUUGUAAGUCCCUAGAGAUUUGUAAGUAGGUCUCCAACAUAUUAGAAUGUUAUACUUUUGACGUUUCUGAUUAGUCAGUAUACUCGAUGCUAGUUAUACUAUCACUACGUGUAAAUAAAAAAUGCUUUCUGAUGGGUUUGCAAAGUGGCUAUCAUUUGUUAAUUAAUUCAGUGUAUUUGGUUUGAAUUUUGUGAUUCGAUUCAUAUGGGUUAAAUAUUAGCUGAUAUCUCCUAUAUUCUAGCUUUAGAUCCCUUUUAACCCUUCAUUUUCUACUCUUUUUAUUAUUCUAUAUACUAAUGAAAUUUUCUCUGGAUGCUGCUACUGUGGUUUGGUUUUUACGCUUUAAUUAUGCUGGUACAAACAAUUUUUUUUUUAAUCUUGGAAGUCUUGAAGCUUAUUUUUACCCUAAACUUACCCUAAAUCCUGAACUCUAUUAAGGUGCUUGGUACUGAGUUGUUAAUUAUUUCAGUUUUUACGGUAUUGAUAGAAAGGAUCUCCACAUUGUUUGUCACUUCAAUAUUCCAAAAUCAAUGGAAUUGUUUUAUCACAAAUCUUCCGGAGUAUAUUCUACCAUGGACUGGAUGAUUGCAAAAAGAUGGUGUUUAUACUAUACAUACUAGACAUCAUCUCCACUUAACACUUAGGUACAUGUGCUAGGAAUUCAUUCUACAUAAUGCCACUAUGAAAAAGAGAGAAUCUUCACUUCCCUCAGGUGGCUUGCCAGAGAAGUCUGUAGCUACAUUUACUCAGAUGGUGGAAUACUACGAAGGUUCUGGUUGUCAUAGGGGGGAGAUUCUUCCAAGUUUUGGCGAACAGGUGUCAACAUCUUUAUGUCAGAAAUCAUGUGAUUCAUGUAAACAACCAAGCAUAGUUGUACAACACCUAAAGGAUCUUGAGGGAAAAACUUACUCCCAGAAGGACAAGUUCUUUCCCAUUUUGACUAAAAGAAAUUGAAGCAUGGAGGAAGGUCGGGCCAUAGUUCAUGCUUCAGAACCCAUGUUAUCAUCAAUGAUGCCAAUCUGAAGAAUUUUGUUGACUUGAUAUAAAUAAAUCAUCCCAAUUUAUUCUGGAUGUCUUAAAUGGCACAUUGCAUUGAUUUGAGGAUGAAGGAAAUUGCAAGAUGGUGAAGAAGCUCUACCUACAUUCCUUUAGAAGGUCAACAUACUGAAUUUUGGAAUUGAGAAGAUGAUGACAGUUUCUUCGAGGAAGCAAUACCAGAUUCUGGAGGUUUCUCCGUCGCAGACUCGUUGAUGGUAUGCUCUAGCGAUGCGGUGGCUAGGUCUCUCGGCAUCUGUCAGGGUAUCCUUUAUCAAAGUACUUUAUCAUUGAUUUCUGGAGACCAAGUGGCUGAAUCCUCAGUUAUAGCAAAAUGCUGUGAUGGUUCACAGAAUAAUCCCAAGGGUAUUAUUGAACGAAUAUAUCCAUUGGGUGCAGCGAUUGGUAAACCAAAAUCUUCUACUGAGGGCAUCUCUCCUGCAAAAAUUGCACAAUCUGAGUGGAAGAGUUUGACAGAAAGUGAUAAUUCCUCCGAGUCUACUGCUAACACGAUGAGAAACUUUGAGCAGACAAUGCAAACAAACAUCAUGUGAUGGAACAAAAACUUGAGGUGUCACAGGAAACCUUGAAUCUGAGCAAAGCAGAGCUGGCCUUUACAUCUGGUGUCACUGCUAAAAAGUUGGGUAAUUUGGUUCGAUCUUCAGAGACCUCGGAGAGAUCCUCCACCAAUGUUGUUACAAACAACUGAAGUUUCGAAGUUAGCAGUAUCCCAAAAAGUUUCAGUAAAACCAUCUUCUUGUGCUUGAUCGAAAUUCUUUAUCUCAAAUGCUUCUGGCUGAUAGUAAUGAACUUCUUUAUCCCAAAAAGUUUCAGGGAUUGAAGAGGCUGUUGAAAUUUGACCGUAAAAGCAAGGGAGAGGCAAGUGCGUGACUGGUUGGUCUAGCCCGUCAAUUAAUUAUUCAGUAGAGGAUGAUGCAGAAGAUCUAAAAGCAGCUGAACCUUGAUACAUCCUCAACUUGCCCUCCACGAGAUGUAUUGUCCACCAUGAUGUAGAUUAAGAAAAUUUCUAUCAUUGUUUCUGCUCAUGCCGUGCUCUUGUACUUUUACAUCGAUCGUGCUAAUUCUAGUUUGGUCCUUAAAUUUAUAUUAAAAAUUGUGUUAUGCGGAGCAUAUAUGUAUUCUUGGAUUAUAUUCAUUAUCUUUAAAAAUAAGAUAUUAUUAGUGAGUGAUUA